rnacentral:lncRNA from 1 species
GAUUUCCAUGGAUGGCUGACAGAAUAAUGAUGCUGGCAACAAGAUGAAAAUUAUAAAUAGCAGAUCUGAGGAGUAAAGAAGAUUAGUUUAGCUUUACAUAUGUUGCAUUUAUGUUGCCUGCAGAACAUGUUUUAAAAAUAGCCAUAUAGAAAUUUUGGUCUGGAAUUUGGAAGUGGUCAGAUUUUUAGAGAUAUAGAGCCUCAGUGUUUUUUCCAUAGGUGAGUGAUUAUGGUAUAGUAUAUGCUAUGGCUAGAAUGACACAGGAGUAAACAAGUAUAUUGUUUGAAGGAUUCUCACACUAUAUGUGUGUGAACUUUAAGUGAU